rnacentral:lncRNA from 1 species
UUAGCAGUAUUCAGAAUAUUCACAUAACAACUCAUAUAACUCAUAUUCAUAUAACUCAUAUAACUCAUACUCAUUUAACUCAUAUAACUCAUACUCAUUUAACAACUCAUAUAACUCAUAUAACUCAUAUUCAUAUAACUCAUACUCAUAUAGCUCAUACUCAUAUCACUACUAAUAAUCCAGUUGACGCCUCACGGUGCAGGCGAUGGCAACCCAAAGAUAAGGAACCAUCACCGGAUCAUAGCUCGGGUGAUGUCCGUGGAGAACCUGUCAGGUAUUGAAGAACCUCGCAUCCAACGCAACCAUGUAGCGAUAGACGUGCUCGUCCUCCUCCCUGACACGACAACGUACCACCUUCGUGGGGCCGGCUCCCUCGUCACCGAUAAUGGCCCACGCGACCGCCACCAAAGAAGCUCCGGGUCAACGAUGAGACCUGGAUUCCGCACCAAGGUGCGCCCCCCGGAAGGUAGC